UGUGCCAGAAGCCGCGGUAAUACGUAGGGUGCAAGCGUUAAUCGGAAUUACUGGGCGUAAAGCGUGCGCAGGCGGUUCGUUAAGACGGAUGUGAAAUCCCCGGGCUCAACCUGGGAACUGCAUUCGUGACUGGCAAGCUAGAGUAUGGCAGAGGGGGGUAGAAUUCCACGUGUAGCAGUGAAAUGCGUAGAGAUGUGGAGGAAUACCGAUGGCGAAGGCAGCCCCCUGGGCCAAUACUGACGCUCAUGCACGAAAGCGUGGGGAGCAAACAGGAUUAGAUACCCUGGUAGUCCACGCCCUAAACGAUGUCAACUAGUUGUUGGGGAUUCAUUUCCUUAGUAACGAAGCUAACGCGUGAAGUUGACCGCCUGGGGAGUACGGUCGCAAGAUUAAAACUCAAAGAAAUUGACGGGAAUC
rnacentral:rRNA from 1 species